AAUUUUUAAUUGCAUGGUGCUUUCUAUCAUAUACUAACAUGUGGGCCAAAUAACGCCAGCUGUCUCCAUUUCUCACAUUAUCAAAUUAAAGUAGUUCUUGUUUCUAAGAGGGUUAAAAUACUUAAUUCAAAGUUGGCCGAGCCCAUAGUUUGGACACAAAGAUAUAUGUUGGGCAGAGAACACCAAUUCAUAUCAACGUGCAUUUUAUAGGAAUGUUUUCAUAUUUUUUAAUUGCAUGGUGCUUUUUAUCAUAUACCAACAUGUGUACCAAAUAACGCCAGCUGUCUUCAUUUAUCACAUUAUCAAAUUAAAGUAGUUCUUGUGCUUUAAUGUUAAUAUACAAUUCACAGUUUUUUCCAGCCCCUAACAAGACCUCUGAUGACCCAUGUGCAUCGCAGAAAAUGUGAGAUAUGACCACAUACAUGCUUGGUUUCAGAGGCAUACGCGGGAAAGUAAUAUUUAGAAGAGGCGGGAUUUUAAAGCCUAGAGAGUGGGUGAACUGGCGCCAGUCUAUGACCUCGGAAGUGACAGGAGCUGUACAUCAGUAUUUCGUGGGUUCUAAAGGCCAGUUCAUGUCAACUGCUCUGGGUUCCAGAUUAAGACUGAGUGAUUAAGCAAGGAGAUUUAGAAUCCAGGGUUCUGAAUCAGAAGACCAAACUCCAAGUACGCACAUCACAGUUUCUGAACAUACUGAAGUCCCACCACACUUGUUCACCUAUUUGGCUGAAGAACUAACCAACUCAGACAAGAAAAGGAAAUACAACAAUGGUGAUUAGAGGCAAAAGAGGUUGGGGUCUUCGACACAGACGUCCACUAAUUGUCACAUCAAGCCCUAUUGACGAAGUUCCAGAGUUGGUGCCUCCGACAAGGAGCCUAAGAGAUGAGGAAGAUCCCAUAGUUGAUGCCUCAACUGAAGCAGUACCAGAGGUGAGUGUAGAAGAGUCCAAUCAUGAUGUACAACAUGAUGACAAUGAGGGGGAUAACAUCACAGACUUGGCAGGUAGCUAGUAUGAUGUUCAGCUUUGGUAAUUUUGACUAGUUUUUCUGUUUAGAAUCCUUAGCCAUGAUUCUAUAACAUUAACAAGUUUAUUAAUGUCGUUAAUACAAUUCCACCCAUUAAAAAACGAGGUCGAGGGCCUGCGAAGGGUACAUCAUUUGAAAGGUUGAGAAAGUUUGGUAAGAUCCCUUUAAACAUAAAGGAUGGGCAUAGGGGUCCAUCAUGUGAAAAUGCCACUAUAUUCAGUAGUCGAGUGAGCUGGAUUAUAAGAGUACAUGCUGAAAUGCGGCAUGCUAGUUGGAGUGUGGUAGACAACAAGGAGAAGCAUGAGCUCAUCAAUCGUGUUAGAGGUGAUUUUAUCUUGGAUUGGUCAAAAGAAAAUCAUCGAGAGGCUGUAGUAAACACACUCGCUGAUAGGUACAAUGCGUACCAUUAUGAACUACACAAGCACUACCUUAAAUAUGCAUCGCAUGAGGAGGCAGUAGCUGGUCGGAGAUCGUCGGUGGAGCCACAUGUUUGGGAGUGGCUAUGUGAUAGGUGGGCUAGCAGGACAUUCAAGGAGCAGUCUCGUAGAAACACAAAUAAUAG